rnacentral:rRNA from 1 species
GACGAACGCUGGCGGCGUGCUUAACACAUGCAAGUCGAACGGAAAGGCCCUGCUUUUGUGGGUUGCUCGAGUGGCGAACGGGUGAGUAACACGUGAGUAACCUGCCCUUGACUUUGGGAUAACUUCAGGAAACUGGGGCUAAUACCGGAUAGGAGCUCCUGCUGCAUGGUGGGGGUUGGAAAGUUUCGGCGGUUGGGGAUGGACUCGCGGCUUAUCAGCUUGUUGGUGAGGUAGUGGCUUACCAAGGCUUUGACGGGUAGCCGGCCUGAGAGGGUGACCGGCCACAUUGGGACUGAGAGACGGCCCAGACGCCUACGGGAGGCAGCAGUGGGGAAUAUGGCACAAUGGGCGGAAGCCUGAUGCAGAGACGCCGCGUGCGGGAUGACGGCCUUCGGGUUGUAAACCGCUGUCGCCUGUGACGAAGAGUGAGUGACGGUAAUGGGUAAAGAAGCACCGGCUAACUACGUG